UACGUAGGGUGCGAGCGUUGUCCGGAAUUAUUGGGCGUAAAGAGCUUGUAGGCGGUUUGUCGCGUCUGCUGUGAAAAUCCGGGGCUCAACCCCGGACUUGCAGUGGGUACGGGCAGACUAGAGUGUGGUAGGGGAGACUGGAAUUCCUGGUGUAGCGGUGAAAUGCGCAGAUAUCAGGAGGAACACCGGUGGCGAAGGCGGGAUCCUGGGCCAGUACUGACGCUGAUGAGCGAAAGCGUGGGGAGCAAACAGG
rnacentral:rRNA from 1 species